CCGAAAAGCCACGCCCUUUGCGCUACGAGUGGCUACUCGUUUACCUUUACAAGUGCUGGACAGCUUGUGAUAGGAGUGACUAGCCAAUCCCAGCCCACCAGGCGGGGUUUAUUCGGCCAAUCUCAGGCCAUUGUGGGCAAGGAUUUUGUCCCCAAUGCAGGUGCGAAAAAAACAACCCAGCGACGGUCUUGCGGUCGUCUCGCUUUUCGCGUUUCUCCGCGGUCGCGAAGCUGACGGCCAGACCUUACGCUGGUGGGCUCCUUAAAAUUCAGCCUAAAAUAGCUUUUAGAUUGACUGUAGCUUCGUUUUGAAGACGAACCCAGAGCAGAUGUGGAAUUACUGAAAUGUAUACGAUUGUAGAGAUGGGCAGCUCGAGCUUCGUGGAGGUUUUGGUGCGUUUUGACAAAAAAUAAUCUGUUUUUUGGCUGAUUUUGGACAUCUGGAGUAUUGCAGAAACAAAAGGAGCGUUUAUCCUGAAUCAUUGCACCCCACCUGAGACGCUGAAAGUCAAUGGCAAAAACACAAAGCAGUCACAUGACCACCAAACUUAGAUCCCCCACCCACCCGUGUUGUUAUUUGUUGGCAGGCGGCGCGGAGGACGAGCGAACGAACGCUGAUGGUAGCGGAUGGAGUAGGAGUUGGAAGAUGGAGAACGGAGUGAACUCGGGAGCAGGACUGAUGCAUACCAGGAUGUGGCCCGACCCCUGCCAGCCAGCCUGCCAACCUGCCCAAGCAACUGGAUUCAAAUGGUGAUGUAAAUGCUGUCCAGAUCCACUUCCUUCAGCGUUUCUGACCUCAGACUGACCUCUGAACCUCUGUGAGAAGAAGAACAUGGUUUGGUGAUGAUAUUUCUCUGUGAAUAAUUAGAUUUAGAGUUUAAAUGCUGGGUAAGUAUUUAGCAGUAAAACAAGGUAAGUUUCUGGAUUAGUUGGAUCAUAAUGAAGCAGCUUUGGUGGUGGUGGACAUUUUAACCCAUAAGAGCCCAGUUCUGAAUAUUGAUACAAAAUCUGUUCAAAUUAAUUAAUUGUUUUACUGUGAUAAAGAGGGGACAUGACUGUUUUUAGGUUUUAAGGUUAAAAUUCAGAUAAAUGGUAACAUAGAUGGUACAACAAUGCUUUUAUUUUUUUUUUCAAAAUACUGUUCUAGAAAUCAGGCCAGAUCUAGUUCUAUGAUGCAUAAAACAUUUUUGUAAAGCAAUUAAAGUGUUAAAAUAGUUUAAACAAAGCUGUAUAAGCAAAAACACAUUAAAAAAACAUUAAUAAAAGGAGCUACUUCAUAGCUCCAGCUGUCAGAUUAACUAAAAAACAGAUUCACACACUGUCCUGUAGUGUUGUUCUCAGGAUGUUCAGUAGAUGUCACUUAGAUGUCACUCAUAUGUUAAAGUGAAGGCCUGACAGAGUGCUUUAAGGAACUUUACACAUUUUUUUAAAGGGUCUUU
rnacentral:lncRNA from 1 species